rnacentral:sRNA from 1 species
ACACACACACAUACACAUACACACACCAUUGUGUAAUUGAAGAUAGAGCCGAUGGUGGUGAAGGGUUACAUUUAAAAGGUAAAUAAAUGGACACCCAGAAGCCAGAAAAGCGUAAACUUGAACACCGAGCACCGAGUGAAAGAAUGAAGUGACUGAUUGAACAACGGAAAAGAAAAAGAAAAAGAAAAAGAAAAACAAAGACAAGAACCAACUAUAGCCCGUGAUCGCUAGCUACCUUUUCGCCGUCUCAAAUUGCCAACCCGAAACCAGACUGAAAGCUGAUGCAGUAAUAGUAAGUCUCUCAUCGCGUUGCAUGCCAUAUACAUUAGGGAAUUGCAUAAAUAGGUAAGCAAAUGGAGAAUGAAAUGAGAAGACAACCCCACGUGAGAAAUUAAAUGAAAAAUGAGAAAUCAAUAAAACAUGGUGAUAAUCAAACGGAACCAAACUCAACCACCGCGAUUCUGAAAAAAAAAAAAAAAAGACCUGCAAGACCUCGCAUAGAAAGCGGAAAAACGAAGAGGAGAAGGAGAGCAG